GUGCCAGCCGCCGCGGUAAUACCGACAGCUCAAGUGAUGGCCGCUAUUAUUGGGCCUAAAGCGUCCGUAGCCGGCCGAACAGGUCCGUCGGGAAAUCUGCUCGCUCAACGAGCAGGCGUCCGGCGGAAACCAGUCGGCUUGGGGCCGGAAGACCCGAGGGGUACGUUCGGGGUAGGAGUGAAAUCCCGUAAUCCCGAACGGACCGCCGGUGGCGAAAGCGCCUCGGGAAGACGGACCCGACGGUGAGGGACGAAAGCUAGGGUCACGAACCGGAUUAGAAACCCCGGUAGUCC
rnacentral:rRNA from 1 species